rnacentral:misc_RNA from 1 species
ACAAACUUGGUCAUUUAGAGGAAGUAAAAGUCGUAACAAGGUUUCCGUAGGUGAACCUGCGGAAGGAUCAUUAUCGAGUUUAAAUCCAGCCGCUCUUGCUGUGCAUUUACUUGCACGCUCGUGCGGUUGGCUCUUUAACUUUACACACCUGUGCACCUUCAGGCUGUCUCGACUUGUCUGCUCCUCGGAGUGGGAUUCGAGUGCUGCAGUGAGCCUCUGGUUCGCAGCUCACUUUGGAGAGAUAUGUCUGUUUUUUUACACCAUUUUGUAUGUCUUUGAAUUUCACGGUCACUCUGUGAUGGAGUGGUCGAAAAAAUAAUACAACUUUCAGCAACGGAUCUCUUGGCUCUCCCAUCGAUGAAGAACGCAGC